UAGGGAAUCUUCCGCAAUGGACGCACGUCUGACGGAGCAACGCCGCGUGAGUGAAGAAGGAUUUCGGUUCGUAAAACUCUGUUGUUAGAGAAGAACAGCGCAUAGAGUAACUGUUAUGCGUGUGACGGUAUCUAACCAGAAAGCCACGGCUAACUACGUGCCAGCAGCCGCGGUAAUACGUAGGUGGCAAGCGUUGUCCGGAUUUAUUGGGCGUAAAGCGAGCGCAGGCGGUCAAUUAAGUCUGAUGUGAAAGCCCCCGGCUCAACCGGGGAGGGUCAUUGGAAACUGGUUGACUUGAGUGCAGAAGAGGAGAGUGGAAUUCCAUGUGUAACGGUGAAAUGCGUAGAUAUAUGGAGGAACACCAGUGGCGAAGGCGACUCUCUGGUCUGUAACUGACGCUGAGGCUCGAAAGCGUGGGUAGCAAACAGG
rnacentral:rRNA from 1 species